GACGAACCGUGCAAACGUUGUUCGGAAUCACUGGGCUUAAAUGGCGCGUAGGCGGGUGAUCAAGUCAGGGGUGAAAUCUUUCGGCUUAACCGGAAAACUGCCUUUGAUACUGGUCGUCUCGAGUGAGGUAGGGGCAUGUGGAACUUCCGGUGGAGCGGUGGAAUGCGUUGAUAUCGGAAGGAACGCCGGUGGCGAAAGCGACGUGCUGGACCUCCUCUGACGCUGAUGCGCGAAAGCUAGGGGAGCGAACGGG
rnacentral:rRNA from 1 species